rnacentral:tRNA from 1 species
UCCUUGGUAGCUCAGAGGUUAAAGCAUCUGCCUGCAAUGUGGGAGACCUGGGUUCGAUCCCUGGGUCAGGAA